AAACGCGUUAUUUAAAAAUGUCUACAUUUCCCGCACAAAGUACAUCAUCUUAAUUAUAUAGAUAAUUCGUAUAUUGUUCUAAUAAAAUUAUAAAAUUAUAGUAAUAGUAAUUGUAAAUAUAUAUAUUUUCAUAAUCUAUGGUAAAUAAAAAUUCCGUUAUUUAUUGCUUAAUCUAAAAUAGAAAUCAAGAAUAGAAGAUAGAACGUUAUCAAGUGACAUCAAUUUUCAUGUGCUCUUGUUGUAUAGAAAAACAGAAUGUCAUUUCCAAAUAAAGAAGACCGGUUUGUUUGUUGGAAUCAUAGAGAUGAGUAUUGGAAAUGUUUAGAUGAAUCAAAAUCAGAAACUGAUUGCAAUGAAUUUAGAAAAAAAUAUGAACAAUUUUGUCCUUCUCAAUGGGUGAAACAUUUUGAUCGUAAAAGGGAAUAUAUAAAGUUUAAAGAACGUUUGGAGCUAGAAGGAUAUGUUCCAGAAGAAAAAAAUCGGACAUCUCUUUAAUAGAACAAUUAUAAUUUAUACAAAAAAAAUGUAUCUAUGUGUAAUAAGUUUAUUAUUUAUUUGUUACCAUUUUCAUAGCUCAUAAAGAUAAUAAAUAGAUACUUA